rnacentral:rRNA from 1 species
UACAGAGGUCUCAAGCGUUUGUUCGGAUUCAUUGGGCGUAAAGGGUGCGUAGGCGGCGGGGCAAGUCAGGUGUGAAAUCCCGGAGCUCAACUCCGGAACUGCACUUGAUACUGCCUUGCUAGAGUACUGGAGAGGAGACUGGAAUUUACGGUGUAGCAGUGAAAUGCGUAGAUAUCGUAAGGAAGACCAGUGGCGAAGGCGAGUCUCUGGACAGUUCCUGACGCUGAGGCACGAAGGCCAGGGGAGCAAACGGG